CAGUAGCCGCGGGAAUACAGAGGGUGCGAGCGUUAAUCGGAUUUACUGGGCGUAAAGCGUGCGUAGGCGGCUUUUUAAGUCGGAUGUGAAAUCCCUGAGCUUAACUUAGGAAUUGCAUUCGAUACUGGGAAGCUAGAGUAUGGGAGAGGAUGGUAGAAUUCCAGGUGUAGCGGUGAAAUGCGUAGAGAUCUGGAGGAAUACCGAUGGCGAAGGCAGCCAUCUGGCCUAAUACUGACGCUGAGGUACGAAAGCAUGGGGAGCAAACAGGAUUAGAUACCCGGGUAGUUCCUGUCUCUUAUAA
rnacentral:rRNA from 1 species